CGUGUAGGCGGUUGGGCAAGUCAGAUGUGAAAGCCUUCCGCUCAACGGAAGAAGGGCAUUUGAAACUACCCGGCUGGAGUACGGGAGAGGAGAGUGGAAUUCCCGGUGUAGAGGUGAAAUUCGUAGAUAUCGGGAGGAACACCUGUGGCGAAGGCGGCUUCCUGGACCGCAACUGACGCUGAGGCGCGAAAGCUAGGGGAGCAAACAGGAUUAGAUACCCUGGUAGUCCUAGCCCUAAACGAUGAGCACUGGGUGUAGCCCUUCACGGGGCUGUGCCGAAGCUAACGCAUUAAGUGCUCCGCCUGGGGAGUACGGUCGCAAGGCUAGAA
rnacentral:rRNA from 1 species